UGGGGAAUUUUGCACAAUGGGGGAAACCCUGAUGCAGCGACGCCGCGUGAUUUAGAAGGCCUUCGGGUUGUAAAAAUCUUUUCUAUGGGAAGAAAAUGACAGUACCAUAGGAAUAAGGACCGGCUACUUACGUGCCAGCAGCCGCGGUAAUACGUAAGGUCGGAGCGUUGUCCGGAAUCAUUGGGCGUAAAGGGUACGUAGGCGGGUAAGCAAGUUAGAAGUGAAAUCCUAUAGCUCAACAAUAUUAAGCUUUUAAAACUGCUCGUCUGGAUGUAGGGAAGGAAAAGUGGAAUUCCUAGUGUAGCGGUGAAAUGCGCAGAUAUUAGGAGGAAUACCGGUGGCGAAGGCGACUUUCUGGCCAUAACCUGACGCUGGGUUACGAAAGCGUGGGUAGCAAGCAG
rnacentral:rRNA from 1 species